CUCGCUGAUCUCAUGCAUAUCAAUAAGUCGGAGGAUAAGAAACUAACCAGGAUUCCCCUAGUAACGGCGAGUGAAGGCGGGAUGAGCUCAAAUUUGGAAAUCUGGCUGGUUUACUAGUCCGAGUUGUAAUUUAAAGAAGCGUAGUCGGUGGCAGCCUGGGUAUAAAUCCUUUGGAAUAGGGUAUCAUAGAGGGUGAGAAUCCCGUCUUUGACCUAGUGCAUGCUACUAUGUGAUACGUUUUCAGAGAGUCGAGUUGUUUGGGAAUGCAGCUCAAAAUGGGUGGUAAAUUUCAUCUAAAGCUAAAUAUUGGCGAGAGACCGAUAGCGAACAAGUACCGUGAGGGAAAGAUGAAAAGAACUUUGAAAAGAGAGUUAAACAGUGCGUGAAAUUGUUGAAAGGGAAACGUUUGACACCAGUCAUGUGGGUGGAAAAUCAGUCUUUUGCAUUGGGGAGUUGUAAAGGUUCGGACCGCAAGGCCGGCUUUUGCUUCAUCUUUGGUGUAAGGGAUGCACUUUUUCAUCUACAGGUCAACAUCAGUUUCUUUUGCUGGACAAAACUCCGAGAGAAGGUAGCAGCUUAGGCUGUGUUAUAGCUCUGGAGCGAUACAGUGAAGGGGACUGAGGUCUUUCGCAGCGUGUGCUCUCGGGCAAGGCUGGAUGGGUGCUAUGGGAUCGUUCGGGGUACAAUGCCUGGCAUUUUGCUUCGUGUCUUUUCUAUACUCGCUCAACUCAGCUCUUCCACGCUUAGGAUGUCUGACUUAAUGGUUUUAAACGACCCGUCUUGAAACACGG
rnacentral:rRNA from 1 species